rnacentral:rRNA from 1 species
GAUGAACGCUGGCGGCGUGCCUAAUACAUGCAAGUCGAGCGAACGGACGAGAAGCUUGCUUCUCUGAUGUUAGCGGCGGACGGGUGAGUAACACGUGGAUAACCUACCUAUAAGACUGGGAUAACUUCGGGAAACCGGAGCUAAUACCGGAUAAUAUUUUGAACCGCAUGGUUCAAAAGUGAAAGACGGUCCUGCUGUCACUUAUAGAUGGAUCCGCGGUGCAUUAGCUAGUUGGUAAGGUAACGGCUUACCAAGGCAACGAUGCAUAGCCGACCUGAGAGGGUGAUCGGCCACACUGGAACUGAGACACGGUCCAGACUCCUACGGGAGGCAGCAGUAGGGAAUCUUCCGCAAUGGGCGAAAGCCUGACGGAGCAACGCCGCGUGAGUGAUGAAGGUCUUCGGAUCGUAAAACUCUGUUAUUAGGGAAGAACAUAUGUGUAAGUAACUGUGCACAUCUUGACGGUACCUAAUCAGAAAGCCACGGCUAACUACGUG